ensembl:lncRNA
UGGUGUACAUUCGGGACACCCAUUCAUUACUGUAGCUUUAAGAAAUGCGUGCGGGAGUGUUGCAGUAUUGAACUUGUUCAGAGAUGUUUGGACAAGACCCUUCGAUAUAGGAUUCUUUAUCACAUUGACAGUUUCUCUGAAUAUUUAUGUUGGAAAGAUACUGGAUAGGCCAAUGCAUUCGUGUGAUCACCCCAGUACAGGACUCCCUUUUUAGAGACUGUCAAGCAGCGACAUGCACAUGUGAGAGGGUGGAGAGGAAAGGGCAGAUGCCGCACAAUGCGUGAGAGUGAUGCUUCUGGUGGAACCUUGCUCGGAUUCUUUUCCCGGUGGAGUUUCCCAGCGCUCAGAGCAUAAAAUAGAAGUCCAAUGAAUGUGCACGCGGGGACAUAGCACGAAAAACGGCUUAGAAGUGAUGGCAAACUGUCGAGACCCAUGGUUGCCAUGGGUGACAGUCCGUCAUGAGUAUAUUGGCCGGAAAGCCUACCAGAUCCCUCAUUCUACAGCUGUCAGGGACAUCAAGCAACUCAUCUAUGAAGAAACUGACCUGCC